AUAGCGUAUAUUAAAGUUGUUGCAGUUAAAAAGCUCGUAGUUGAACCUUGGGCCUGGCUGGCCGGUCCGCCUCACCGCGUGCACUGGUCCGGCCGGGUCUUUCCUUCUGGGGAGCCGCAUGCCCUUCACUGGGUGUGUCGGGGAACCAGGACUUUUACUUUGAAAAAAUUAGAGUGUUCAAAGCAGGCCUAUGCUCGAAUACAUUAGCAUGGAAUAAUAGAAUAGGACGUGUGGUUCUAUUUUGUUGGUUUCUAGAGUCGCCGUAAUGAUUAAUAGGGAUAGUUGGGGGCAUUAGUAUUCAGUUGCUAGAGGUGAAAUUCUUGGAUUUACUGAAGACUAACUACUG
rnacentral:rRNA from 1 species